CCUACGGGUGGCAGCAGUGGGGAAUCUUGCGCAAUGGGCGAAAGCCUGACGCAGCGACGCCGCGUGAGGGAAGAAGGCCUUCGGGUUGUAAACCUCUUUCAGGAGGGACGAAGCUACUCGGGUGAAUAGCCCAGAGGGUGACGGUACCUCCAGAAGAAGCCCCGGCUAACUACGUGCCAGCAGCCGCGGUAAUACGUAGGGGGCAAGCGUUGUCCGGAUUUAUUGGGCGUAAAGAGCGUGUAGGCGGCCUGGAAGGUCAGCUGUGAAAACUCGAGGCUCAACCUCGAGACGUCGGUUGAAACCACCUGGCUAGAGUCCGGAAGAGGAGUGUGGAAUUCCCGGUGUAGCGGUGAAAUGCGCAGAUAUCGGGAAGAACACCCGUGGCGAAGGCGGCACUCUGGGACGGUACUGACGCUGAGACGCGAAAGCGUGGGGAGCGA
rnacentral:rRNA from 1 species